UAUUGCUUGUUCGUUCUUCGAUGGCUUUCUUCCUUUGUCAUGGUUGAAGCCUCACGACUGAAAUUACUGAAAAAUUUUGUUUCCUUAGAGGACCGUUUGAAAGAAGAAAGUUUUAUCGUCGACCUUUUGUGUGUUUGCAUUUGUUUUUACUCUUUCUUUUUUGCUCACUGCUCACCCAUAGAAAGCAUUUAAAUUUUCCGUUUGGUUGCAAAACGUGAAGAUAGAAAGCAUUUAAAUUUUCCAUUUGUUUUCUCUCCUUCGUUGUUCAACGCUUACCCAGCUUACCCACUGAAAACACUCCAAGUUUUUCCUUUUGGCAAAAAUGUGAACUGGAUUUUGAUGGAGUGUGAGAUUGGAGAAGUACAAGAGAGAUUCAUAUUCAUUGCAGAGGGAAGGAGAAAACAUGCAAGCCGUGUGGAGCCCUGAUGCCAAAUUAAUUGUUAUUCUUACAUGUAUCUUCUUUCUUCAUAUUUUAAAAGUCCAUUUGUCAGAUAAAAGAAUACACACUGGUGGUAGACAACCCUCUGCUUUAUGCUUAGUUAUCAUUUCUCUUGUGCUCACAGAACAAGUUCCUUUUGCAGUAAAGGAUUUAUCUUUGUUAGUUUCGUGCUCGUUUCUAUUUUAUAAUUUUCUUCAUCUA